rnacentral:rRNA from 1 species
AGUGGCGGACGGGUGAGUAACACGUAGGUAACCUGCCCCGGAGCGGGGGAUAACAUUUGGAAACAGAUGCUAAUACCGCAUAACAACAAAAGCCACAUGGCUUUUGUUUGAAAGAUGGCUUUGGCUAUCACUCUGGGAUGGACCUGCGGUGCAUUAGCUAGUUGGUAAGGUAACGGCUUACCAAGGCGAUGAUGCAUAGCCGAGUUGAGAGACUGAUCGGCCACAAUGGAACUGAGACACGGUCCAUACUCCUACGGGAGGCAGCAGUAGGGAAUCUUCCACAAUGGGCGCAAGCCUGAUGGAGCAACACCGCGUGAGUGAAGAAGGGUUUCGGCUCGUAAAGCUCUGUUGUUGGAGAAGAACGUGCGUGAGAGUAACUGUUCACGCAGUGACGGUAUCCAACCAGAAAGUCACGGCUAACUACGUGCCAGCAGCCGCGGUAAUACGUAGGUGGCAAGCGUUAUCCGGAUUUAUUGGGCGUAAAGCGAGCGCAGGCGGUUGCUUAGGUCUGAUGUGAAAACCUUCGGCUUAACCGAAGAAGUGCAUCGGAAACCGGGCGACUUGAGUGCAGAAGAGGACAGUGGAACUCCAUGUGUAGCGGUGGAAUGCGUAGAUAUAUGGAAGAACACCAGUGGCGAAGGCGGCUGUCUGGUCUGCAACUGACGCUGAGGCUCGAAAGCAUGGGUAGCGAACAGGAUUAGAUACCUUGGUAGUCCAUGCCGUAAACGAUGAGUGCUAGGUGU